GAAGUCUUUGAAGGAAGCUACAGGGCACAGCUGCAGACAGACUCUUGGAAAUCAGGGGGAAAAAACCGAAAGUUUUCAGUCUUUUCAGUCAAACUCCAGGGAGAGUUUGAACUUCCCAAAACUGGCUGAUGUGAUGGUGGUGGUUAAGUCUGCCUCUUAAAUCCUCUGGCAUUUCACAACAGGCCAAGAUCCCAGUCUAGGCCUGGCUUUGUGUCAUGCCUGGCUCUGUGUGUGUUUGCACACCUCUCCUGAUUUUUAAAAAAGAUUCUUUGUAUUUAAGAAUAUGAAGUUAUAAAAUUAGGGUUUCUGAAAACAGGGAAUUCUCUUGGUGGCAUUUAGUCUUCACUACUGAAUUAUCUCUGUACCUCAGUGGGUGACAGUGGCACUUAUAAAUUGUUCCACAACAUAGCUACUGGCAUCUUGCAUCAUUCUGUGUUUACACUGGUGAUCUGUGAAGGUUUAUCAGUGUUUGAUAAAGGCUUGAUAAUGGGCAUGUGAUUUUUAAGGGACAGAUCAGUCUCAGACUGGAGAUUCACUGAUGCACACCUGUUCAUUCACACUUUUCUCCACAGCAUCAGUCCUGUGUCUCCAGCAGGGGCAGUUCUAAGGCAGAAGGUUGUACAUAAAUUUCCAGAGGUGUUUUGGACAGUCCCUUCUUGCUGUGGGAGGUGGCUGUUGGGUCAUGCAGUUGAGAAGGUGACUUGCUUUCCUUGCUGAAACAGUGGCCUCUGGAAUUGAGGAGCUGGCACUGGAGAGGGGUGAGGGUGAGGAUCACUGUGACCAUUUUGUUCCUGCUGUCUUUCAGGAUGAAACUCGCAGGGAGAUGGUUUAUGUGUAUCAUUGCUUAAAGAACAGGAGAGAGACUCACAUGAUGGGGACAGAGGAUGACACUGCCAGUGAGGAUGGCCUGGCACAGCAGACUCAUGGGCUGCGGUUCCCUUUGUCACACUUGGAUGCACUGAAGCAGAUCUGGAGUAGCAGCACUGUCAAUGUUAAAGAGCUUAACCUUACCUCAGAUGAGGAGAAAGUGAACCUUGCCUUGUCACUCUGGACUGAAUGUCUGAUUGAAGUUCUUUGAUGCUUUUGGGAAUUAGCUGCUCCUUGCUAUUAAGCAUCUCUUGAGAGCAAGGUUUAUUAAAUUAGUUUUUUUUAAAUCCA